GGGAGUUCUUCGUUGUUUUCACUAUACUUUUAGAGAAUUACAUAUUACAAGUGAACAAUCAUGAUGCCUUUAAUGCUUGCUAACCUUCUAUUUAUAGAUGUGAGAGUGAGCCCUACAGGCCCUAGGCCCAUGAACACUAAUAAUUGGAUUUAGGCCCUUUAAUGCCUUAAUACACUUUAGUUUUGACUUGAUCCAUUUGCGAUGUCCUUCGUUGCUCAUGUUGAGUAGCUCCCUUGAGCUGCGCAGGCUAGUCUUUGCUGCCGAGUAACCUGGGUAGUCUGCGCCGCCAAGUCCCGUAGUCUGCGCUGGCGAGUCCCUUAAUCUGCGUUGCCGAGUAAUCUGGGUAAUUUGCGCCGCCAAGUCCCGUAGUCUGCGCUGGCGAGUCCCUUAAUCUGCGCCGCCAAAUCCCGUAGUCUGCGCUGGCGAGUCCCUUUAUUAUCUAAGGUCUUCAAUUAAACCUGCGCUGGUUGGCCUCGUUCAAUAAGAAUAAUGAUAACAGUAAUAGUAAUCAAGUAAGAUGUUCCUGUAUUGCUAAGUACAGCGCUGAUGAGUAUUCUAGUCCUCAUCAGCUACUCCCCCUAGUCUGGUUGAACUAUGUCUUCUUCGUGUUCAACCAGUGGUAUGCGGUAUAGAGUCAGCGCUGUGCUGCUCUCCCGAGUAGGGUCCAAGUGUUUUUUAGCCCUGCAGCCCUGUAACUUAUCACAAAUCGGAUACUUGUGAGUUUGCAAAAAUAAUCAAUGAUAGAACGUUACAUCCCUGCUAUUUUGUCAACACCAGAAAUAUCCCGACCCUGUCAAGAUAUUUAGAAUAACAACAGUAAGAACAACAAUGAAGAAACUCCCUUUCUAACGUGUUCAUUAAGCCACUUUUUGAUUAUUAUCAUUGUGCUCGUGCUAAGGCAGCUCCGGAAGCUUUGUACUUAGGCAAUUACAGCCGUGUCAACGAACAGCCCCUUUUCCCUUAGGUUUUGAAUUUUUUUAUCCCUAAAAAAUAGGAUAUAAGAGGUGAUGGGGGCAUAACCCCCUACUCCCCCCCAGUGUCGUGCGCGUACUUUAGAAGUCAAGCACGAUUGUUGAAGACUUGGAAGAGUUGAGAAUGCCCCCGAGUAGGGUUGAAAAACCGGUGCCGAGGAGUGACCCGGGAGAACGGCUGAAUUGCCCCUUAAGGCUCAUCCUCAGUCUAACUUUCGCGGCUUACGAUGUUUCUGCGCGGAGCAUAGACAUUGAGGCCUUCAUCGUGCAAUUAAUGCCUUGAGUUGUGCAAUUAAUGCCUUGAAUUUUGCAAUUAAUGCCUUGAGUUAUGCAGUUAAUGCCUUGAAUUUUGCAAUUAAUGCCUUGAGUUAUG
rnacentral:lncRNA from 1 species